AUUGAACGCUGGCGGCAUGCUUUACACAUGCAAGUCGAACGGUAACAGGUUAAGCUGACGAGUGGCGAACGGGUGAGUAAUGCAUCGGAACGUGCCCGAUCGUGGGGGAUAACGCAGCGAAAGCUGCGCUAAUACCGCAUACGAUCUGAGGAUGACAGCGGGGGACCGUAAGGCCUCGCGCGAUCGGAGCGGCCGAUGUCAGAUUAGGUAGUUGGUGGGGUAAAGGCCCACCAAGCCGACGAUCUGUAGCUGGUCUGAGAGGACGACCAGCCCCACUGGGACUGAGACACGGCCCAGACUCCUACGGGAGGCAGCAGUGGGGAAUUUUGGACAAUGGGCGAAAGCCUGAUCCAGCAAUGCCGCGUGCAGGAAGAAGGCCUUCGGGUUGUAAACUGCUUUUGUACGGAGCGAAAAGGUCCUUUCUAAUACAAGGGGCUCAUGACGGUACCGUAAGAAUAAGCACCGGCUAACUACGUGCCAGCAGCCGCGGUAA
rnacentral:rRNA from 1 species